rnacentral:rRNA from 1 species
CCUACGGGGGGCAGCAGUGGGGAAUAUUGGACAAUGGGCGAAAGCCUGAUCCAGCCAUGCCGCGUGUGUGAAGAAGGCCUUCGGGUUGUAAAGCACUUUCAGUGGGGAAGAAAGCCUUGGGGCUAAUACCCUCGAGGAAGGACAUCACCCACAGAAGAAGCACCGGCUAACUCCGUGCCAGCAGCCGCGGUAAUACGGAGGGUGCGAGCGUUAAUCGGAAUUACUGGGCGUAAAGCGCGCGUAGGCGGUCUGAUAAGCCGGUUGUGAAAGCCCCGGGCUCAACCUGGGAACGGCAUCCGGAACUGUCAGGCUAGAGUGCAGGAGAGGAAGGUAGAAUUCCCGGUGUAGCGGUGAAAUGCGUAGCGAUCGGGAGGAAUACCAGUGGCGAAGGCGGCCUUCUGGACUGACACUGACGCUGAGGUGCGAAAGCGUGGGUAGCAAACAGGAUUAGAUACCCCAGUAGUC